AGUGAACGCUGGCGGUAGGCCUAACACAUGCAAGUCGAACGGCAGCACAGUAAGAGCUUGCUCUUACGGGUGGCGAGUGGCGGACGGGUGAGGAAUACAUCGGAAUCUACUUUUUCGUGGGGGAUAACGUAGGGAAACUUACGCUAAUACCGCAUACGACCUACGGGUGAAAGCAGGGGAUCUUCGGACCUUGCGCGAUUGAAUGAGCCGAUGUCGGAUUAGCUAGUUGGCGGGGUAAAGGCCCACCAAGGCGACGAUCCGUAGCUGGUCUGAGAGGAUGAUACGCCACACUGGAACUGGGACACGGUCCAGAAUCCUACGGGAGGCAGCAGUGGGGAAUAUUGGACAAUGGGCGCAAGCCUGAUCCAGCCAUACCGCGUGGGUGAAGAAGGCCUUCGGGUUGUAAAGCCCUUUUGUUGGGAAAGAAAAGCAGCAGGUUAAUACACCGCUUUUCUGACGGUACCCAAAGAAUAAGCACCGGCUAACUUCGUG
rnacentral:rRNA from 1 species